UAAAUCGGACAAAGAAAACACAAUAAUUGAAAUGGCCCAGCUAUCACUUAAUAUUCAUUUUUUGUAUUUCUCUAAAAUAAAUUAAAUAAAAUAAAAUAAAAUCCAAUCAAACUCAAUUUACUCUCACCACAAAUGAAGAAAAUUCAUUACUUUCAUCACAUUUUUUUAAUUUUACUAAUCAUAGUCUUCGUGUUUAAACAAAUUACUUACAAAUUCGAAGUCGCCGCCAUAGUAUUACAGCCUAAGCAAAUUACAAAAUGUAAUGACGCAAGUGAAACUGAAGAAAAAGAAUUUCUGAUGGAGUCGGAAACGAACCGGAGAAUUCUUGAGGGAGAAAAAUUCCUCAGUCCGGGAACUCUCCGGCGAGAUAUACCGGCAUGUGGCCGGAAUGGUGAAAGAGGCGACGCUUAUACUAAGACUUGCUUACCGCCGCCGUCAAAUGCAUAUAACAGAGGAUGUUCAAGAGACUUUAUUAUUAUAGCGUUCUUAUGUUGAGCGAGACCUGCUCCAGAAGUUCCACCUGAGGAGCAUGCAAUGAUGGAGCGGAUAAGCGUUGCAUAUCUUGUUGACUCCUCAUUGUAUAUCACAUACAUCGAUGAUUAUCUGUGGCGGAGAGCCAAUGUUGUAGCCCCGAAGCUUGAGAUUGAUGUUCCUUAAACAGGUAGUUGUGCUUCCGGUAAAGUUUGUUGUUCUGUGUUUUGUUUUUUAUUAUCACGUUUUAUGUUUUUUAUAUAGAUUUGUUUUUGUAUUUCUGAUGGUGUUUUUUAUAGUAUUUUUAUGGUGUUUUUAUAGUGUU